rnacentral:lncRNA from 1 species
CACCACGUGAAAAGAUGCCGCAAGGAAAGCUCUUCCGGGGGAAAAAAAAAGAGUUCCGACAGAUCACGUGUAGCUGGCCGGAAACCCUACGAUCGCAUCCCCGACCUAGCCGAAUUCUGUUACCGUGGAGACUACACAUAUAAGCCACUCAGCUAAGGCCCCUGCUCAGCAGCCGUCCAGCCGUCCCCAUGAACCUUCUUCCCUGCAGCCUAGCCGCAGCGUCGUGCCCAAAAAACAAGGAGCAGAGCGAGAAGAGUUUACACAGGGACUCCGCCGCAGAAGCCUAGCAAGCUCUACAACACUGGCAGUGCACGCGUGAGCUCUCGACUUCUAAGGAUCCAUGUGUCUACUUCGGCGACUCAGACCUUGGAAGAGUGGUCUUCCCUCAAAGAAGAUUCCUCAACUUCGGUUACUGAUGGUCCAGAGAAACCUACGUCCCAGACUCGCCUUCCAGACAGCAAAGAUCUACUGCACAAUUCACAGAAACGGGAAGCCACACAAGCAGAAAAUGAGCCAAUGGCUGCCUCAAAAGGGGAGAGAAAAAAAAAUACCACCUGCUCUUCCACCUGCUUCCCUGACCUCAUUUCUGCACUUAAUAAUCACAGGUCCUUUGUUUACGAAGUUCCCACUCCCGUACGAAGCACUUCCUCACCCUCCUUAUCAAACUAGCAGUCGUGCUUCAAACAAUUUGACCAAAAAUUACAAGCUAAAAGAAGACAUUCACACAGGUGUCAAAACGCUACGACUUCCUCCCUAGAAAAUCGACGUCGGUGCCGUUUCCCUCGGAGUUUUGAAACCCCGACACCUAAGCUCUAAACCGCUAAGCUCGAAACAAACACGUUUCGACCUAGACCUGGCGCAGGGUUGGAAAUCAUCACGCGCAUCCUACCACGAGGCGCAGAGGCCCACGCACGCGAGAGCAAGGCGGCGCCAUGAGUGCUUCCCACCCCGCCCGCCUCGUGGCCGCUGUCUCUGGCGUCGAUGUUCCCAGUCAGUAAGCAGCGCGGCGACGCGGAAGUGAGACUGGGGACG